ensembl:lncRNA
UUAUGGAUAAGGGCAUGAUGACGGGGCCGCGUGAGCCUCCUCUGCUGCCCCCCUCUGGUGAGGAGGAGGUUUUCUUCAAGAAUUACAUCCCACCUGCUCGAGAUGCCAUCCAUCUGCCCAUUCACGUCUUCUACAUCAUCCUCGCCUCCAUCAUCAUAGUGAUGACGCUCUACGCCAUCAUCGGCCACCUCAUCAAAGACCUGAUACACGACUUAGCCGACUAUCUGUUCGGCCAGCAGCCCGAGGAGGUGCGGCUCAAUCUGUGCGAGGCCAAGGACAAGUUCAUGGCCGACUGGUGUCCGGAGACCAGCCCGGAGCUGGAGGAGAUGGCCCGCGCCGAGGAGAGCCGGGUGGUGAUGGAGGGCAACAGAUACACCCCGGCCAUCUGGAUCAUCUCUGACGGCAUGGAGCCCAGACCGCCGCGCACCGGCCCGCGGGUCGUGUUUGGCAAGAACGUGUAGAGCAGGGGAUCCAGACCUGCAGAGUUGAGCUCAACUUGCCUUUGGAUGUUUCUAGGCAGUCUGAAGACCUUAAAGGGUUAGUUCUCCCAAAAAUGAAAAUUAGCCCAUAAAUUACCCCCCCCCCCCCCGAGGCAUCCUAGGUGUAUGUGACUUUCUUCUUUCAGACGAAUCCAGUCGGAGUUAUAUAAAAAAUUGUCUUUGAUCUUUCAAGCUGUUUCAUGGCACUCAGCAGGUGUUGCAUGCAUCAGUCCAAAAGAAGUUCCCUAAAAAGCGCCCAUCCACAAAACAAGUGUCUCACACGGCUCCGGGGGGUGAACACAGGCCUCCUGUAGCGAAUCGAUGCGUUUUUGUAAGAAAAAUAUCCAUAUUCAAAACGUAAUAAUCACUUUAAUCUAGCUUGCGCUCACUGUUGUACACAGAAGCAGUUCUGGGCGGAUGACGGAUGAGUUCAGCGCUGCGCAACAGCUUGAAAGAUCAAAGACAAUUUUUAAUAUAACUCCGACUGGAUUCGUCUGAAAGAAGAAAGUCACAUACACCUAGGAUGACUUGAGGGUGAGUAAUUUAUGGGCUAAUUUACAUUUUUGGGUGAACUAACCCUUUAAUAUGUCUUCAUAAGACGAGAGUAGAGCAGAAAUCAGCUUCCAGACUCACAGACAGAACUGCAGCACUCACUGAUAUUUCUGAUGGUUAUAUUGACUGAUGGUUUAUGCUCGGUUUACAGUGACUCUGCAUUAGUUGUGCUGUACGUGAAGACGCCUGCUGGAACUGCAUCAUUUGCACUAAAUCAGCAGACCCUCUUUUAGUUUGUCUGUCCUUUCUGAUGGCUGAGCUCAUCCCUUACGAAAAAUAACCAUGGUUUUAUUAAAGUAAAAGUGUAGUAACCAUGUUUUUUUUGGCGUAUUGAUUACCAUUUAUAUUACCACAGUUCUACAACAAAUACCAUGGUUAAACUACGGUUAGUGUACCAAAACCAUGGUUAAUUUGUGGUUACUGUGGUUUAACUAUAGUAACCAUGGUGUUUUGGUUUUAUUUGUAGAAAAGCUAUAGUUCAUUUUCGUAAGAGAUUGAGUCCUCAACUAAUGAGUUGAUGAUUUGAAUCAGGUGUUAUGCAAAAUGCACAGCUAUCUGACUCUCAUCCAUCAUUCUACACGAUUUAAACAAUAAAACAUACAUUUCAUUCAAAAAGGCCUUUUAUUUAAAUCAGUAUGUCUAUAAGCCGACACUACUUGAAGAGAACUGAACUGAGCUGGACGAUGACAUCCCUGAAUCAAUGAUGAACUGUUUCGCUCUCAGAUCAGAGCAUCCUGGAUCAUGAAGAGAUUCUGAUGCAAACGCAUCUUUCUUCCCAAUAUGAGUUAAAACUGUCAUCAUACACUCAUUAUUUCCAGAAGCAUUGUGUGAUAGUCAGCGAUGUAUGUAAUUGAUAUAUUUCAUUAUAUUUAAUAAAUGAAAUGAACAUUUAUUAAGAUAAAUGUUAAUACCUAUGUCAUAAAUUAAAAUGUUUCUCGUUCUGCUCAGUUAUUUCGGCGAGCAGAAGUUUGUGACCGCGGUCUCCAUAAACCUUAUAUUUAUAAAUCCAGACGGUCAGUAAAUGUAGACGAGAUUUCUAUUGUGCUCUUAAUGAAAGUCCCGUGAUGAGUGCGGAGAGACGCAUGCGCGUUACAGCCGAUGUUCUGCUGAUGCAGGUCAGAUGUUACCUGAAUGAGUCCAGAAGCAGCUUCACACGAGCCUGGGACUGUAGCACGGCCGAGCCGAGCAGUUCUUCAGGAUCUGUCUGUGAGGAAUAAGACGCGCUGACCG